CUGCUGCCUUCCGUAGGAGUUUGGACCGUUUCUCAGUUCCAAUGUGGCCGUUUACCCUCUCAGUCGGCUACCCAUCGUCGGCUUGGUGGGCCGUUACCUCACCAACUACCUAAUGGGACGCGAGCUCAUCUCUGUCCAGUAACCUUUUUACCCCAAUUCGAUGCCGAAUCGUGGUCUUAUUCGGUAUUAGCACCUAUUUCUAAGUGUUAUCCCGAUGACAGAGGCAGAUUGCUCACGCGUUACUCACCCGUCGCCGCUAACGUAUU
rnacentral:rRNA from 1 species